rnacentral:miRNA from 1 species
UGGAGUGACCAACCACCAUGGUUUGCUUGGGACUGAGGGGUUUCACGGAAAGUGGGACUUUGAGUGCUGAAAACCAG